CUCGACCCCUCUCGCACCAGCACGCUACUGCCGCCGCCCGGACCCCCUCCCACCAGUGCGCCGUUGCUACCUCCUCCCACGCGUUGGCCGCCUCCUUUCCCCACCGCCAUCCGGCUCGCUCCCCCCGUGUCGACCACUAGUCUCCCUUCAGCUCGGCGUCGGCUUCGGUCCAGCUGCACCUGCGACGACCACCUCCUCCAGCCUCCAUCCACCUCUUGCCAAGAUCCCCUUAAGCGAUCCAACCCCCGUCAAUUCAGUGUGAUCUCUCCCGAAGGCAAGUUUGUGGAGCUGACAAUUCUAUAGGGAAUUACAUGCCAAGAAUCUGAAGGGAUGAAAUUACCUUGGUUAUUACUUGACAUUGGUUCUACUAUAACCGAAGCUGCACGUUGAAAAUUCGGGAUGCAUAAGCUAGCAUAGUUAUGCUUCUGGAGGUUCAACUUUUUCUUGACAAACACACAGCAGAUGUUCCUGUAUUAGUUCGGGUGUCGCCCCUCCGCCUCCUUCUGGUACCCUCAGCGACGCUCCCCGCCACCUUUCUGCAUUGUCCCAGUGGGUGGUCCGACACGGCCGCAUCCAGCGGUCCAACACCGUCAUCGGAGGCCGUUCAAUGUCCCAGCGCCUCCUUCCUAGUAAUCGUGAGGGACGCCCUGCUCGAAAUCUUUCCUCUCCAUCUCCCGACGGUGAACAUUUUCAUGCCCCGUGUUCGAACUGCCAUUUUAUUUUGAAUUGAACUAGGGCUGCUCUUGAUUCAGACCUGGGGGAAGAAGGAAGAACCUCUCUCUUAUAGGCAGUAAUAUUGCUCUCUCAUAUCAUCUCUCAUCUAGUAGGUAGUAAAUAUUUUGAUGAAUGUGUUACUCAAAAAACAAAAUGUUGUAUUGAUAUUCAGUAUCUUAGAGAAACGUUGUUGUGUUCUGGAUGACAAAUAACACAUGUGACAGUAAGUCCAGGUAUUUCUACAUGAGGAGUAAAAAAUUA